UACGUAGGGGGUUAGCGUUGUCCGGAAUCAUUGGGCGUAAAGAGCGUGUAGGCGGCCCGGUAAGUCCGCUGUAAAAGUCAAAGGCUCAACCUUUGAAUGUCAGUGGAUACUGCCGGGCUAGAGUCCGGAAGAGGCGAGUGGAACUCCUGGUGUAGCGGUGGAAUGCGCAGAUAUCAGGAAGAACACCAACGGCGAAGGCAGCUCGCUGGGACGGUACUGACGCUGAGGCGCGAAAGCGUGGGGAGCAAACAGG
rnacentral:rRNA from 1 species